rnacentral:rRNA from 1 species
AUUGAACGCUGGCGGCAGGCCUAACACAUGCAAGUCGAGCGGAUGAAGGGAGCUUGCUCCUGGAUUCAGCGGCGGACGGGUGAGUAAUGCCUAGGAAUCUGCCUGGUAGUGGGGGAUAACGUCCGGAAACGGGCGCUAAUACCGCAUACGUCCUGAGGGAGAAAGUGGGGGAUCUUCGGACCUCACGCUAUCAGAUGAGCCUAGGUCGGAUUAGCUGGUUGGUGGGGUAAAGGCCUACCAAGGCGACGAUCCGUAACUGGUCUGAGAGGAUGAUCAGUCACACUGGAACUGAGACACGGUCCAGACUCCUACGGGAGGCAGCAGUGGGGAAUAUUGGACAAUGGGCGAAAGCCUGAUCCAGCCAUGCCGCGUGUGUGAAGAAGGUCUUCGGAUUGUAAAGCACUUUAAGUUGGGAGGAAGGGCAGUAAGUUAAUACCUUGCUGUUUUGACGUUACCAGCAGAAUAAGCACCGGCUAACUUCGUGCCAGCAGCCGCGGUAAUACGAAGGGUGCAAGCGUUAAUCGGAAUUACUGGGCGUAAAGCGCGCGUAGGUGGUUCAGCAAGUUGGAUGUGAAAUCCCCGGGCUCAACCUGGGAACUGCAUCCAAAACUACUGAGCUAGAGUACGGUAGAGGGUGGUGGAAUUUCCUGUGUAGCGGUGAAAUGCGUAGAUAUAGGAAGGAACACCAGUGGCGAAGGCGACCACCUGGACUGAUACUGACACUGAGGUGCGAAAGCGUGGGGAGCAAACAGG